rnacentral:rRNA from 1 species
GACGAACGCUGGCGGCGUGCCUAACACAUGCAAGUCGAGCGAAUGAAGUUCCUUCGGGGAUGGAUUUAGCGGCGGACGGUGAGUAACACGUGGGCAACCUGCCUCAUAGAGGGGAAUAGCCUUCCGAAAGGGAGAUUAAUACCGCAUAAGAUUGUAGUAUCGCAUGAUACAGCAAUUAAAGGAGCAAUCCGCUAUGAGAUGGGCCCGCGGCGCAUUAGCUAGUUGGUGAGGUAACGGCUCACCAAGGCGACGAUGCGUAGCCGACCUGAGAGGGUGAUCGGCCACAUUGGGACUGAGACACGGCCCAGACUCCUACGGGAGGCAGCAGUGGGGAAUAUUGCACAAUGGGGGAAACCCUGAUGCAGCAACGCCGCGUGAGUGAUGACGGCCUCGGUUGUAAAGCUCUGUCUUC